rnacentral:rRNA from 1 species
AUUGAACGCUGGCGGCAGGCUUAACACAUGCAAGUCGAGCGAGCGGCGGACGGGUGAGUAAUGUCUGGGAAACUGCCUGCUGGAGGGGGAUAACUACUGGAAACGGUAGCUAAUACCGCAUACCAUCAGAUGUGCCCAGAUGGGGUUAGCUUGUCGGUGGGGUAAUGGCUCACCUAGGCGACGAUCCCUAGCUGGUCUGAGAGGAUGACCAGCGACACUGGAACUGAGACACGGUCAAGAGUCCUAAGGGAGGGAGAAGUGGGGAAUAUUGCACAAUGGGCGGAAGCCUGAUGCAGCCAUGCCGCGUGUGUGAAGAAGGCCUUCGGGUUGUAAAGCACUUUCAGCGAGGAGGCGUUACUCGCAGAAGAAGCACCGGCUAACUCCGUGCCAGCAGCCGCGGUAAUAC